UUAUCUGGGAAGAUACUCCUUUUUGUUCUUUGUCUGAAACCUUCGACAAUUUUCCAAUCUGAGAAAAUAAUCUUUGUCGGCCGAUCGACGAAGCUGUAUCGAAAUCCAUCCGAAAUCCACUUCCAUCGUCUUCGCUUAUACAUCAAUUCUUUGCAAAUUAUAAGAUCUUAAAAGAGAUUAGUAGCCAUAUUUCGAUGGUUUCUCAAAAGAAGAAGAAUAACGAAGAUAAGUUUUUUUAUCCAGAUUAUUGUAUAACUUGAGAACUUUAUUGCGAAAUGCUCCUGCUUCAUUAUUCUUUAGCUGAAUGUUAGAUUCAUGAUACAAAGUUCAAUGUUUGCAGGCGAAGUACAAUUUUGCGCACAUAAUUCUUAUGGAGCUGAAGCAGUAACAGUUCAAUUUGGAGCAUUCUUGAAAUAUAAUUUGACAAAUGAUCGGUUUGAAGUUGGAUUCUUAAGGAGGGAAGAGAUUUGGUGUUGUAAUUGGAGGUUUUCAGAGAUCUAUAUUUAAAAGAUGUAUCAGCAAGAAUCAUCUCGACAGUCUCCCCGGAGUAUUGGGUGUAUUGAGUCCAUGAAUGGACGAUUUUCACUUGGAUCUUCCAUUGAGUCUUGAAUGGUUUGACUGCAUUAAGUUCUGUGAUGGGAAGAGCCAUUGUUUGAGAGAUCUACUAAAUGCGAGAGAAAUAUAAAGGCCCAACAUCGACUAAGCCCAGUAAGCUCAUUAUGCACUUCUGGAUAGAGAUCCGACUGCUGGCUCCAAGAUCCGCUGGUAAUGGAUCCAAGAUCCGCGUGUAAUUGGCCUUAAAAUUGUCUAUUAUACCCUCUGACGAUUUCUGUUUUUUAGUCGUUGAUUUUAAAUUUUCCAAUGGCAUUAUAUUGUAAUUUUUUACACUUUAUAGGGUUAGUUUAGUUAGAAUGAUUCCCUUUUAAUAGUAUAGAUUUAUCAUUUGUUUCCUACAUA